UAGUAUAGUGGUGAGUAUUCUCGUCUGUCACACGGGUGACCAGGGUUCGAUCCCUG
rnacentral:tRNA from 1 species